UACGUAGGUGGCGAGCGUUGUCCGGAAUUACUGGGCGUAAAGCGUGCGCAGGCGGUUUUGUAAGUCUGACGUGAAAUCCCCGGGCUUAACCUGGGAACUGCAUUGGUGACUGGCGGGCUAGAGUGUGGCAGAGGGGGGUAGAAUUCCACGUGUAGCAGUGAAAUGCGUAGAGAUGUGGAGGAAUACCGAUGGCGAAGGCAGCCCCCUGGGCUAACACUGACGCUCAUGCACGAAAGCGUGGGGAGCAAACAGG
rnacentral:rRNA from 1 species